rnacentral:misc_RNA from 1 species
GAUGAAGAACGUAGUGAAAUGCGAUAAGUAAUGUGAAUUGCAGAAUUCAGUGAAUCAUCGAAUCUUUGAACGCACCUUGCGCCCUUUGGCCAUUCCGAAGGGCAUGCCUGUUUGAGUAUCAUGAACACCUCAACUCUUCAUGGUUUUCCGUGAUGAGCUUGGACUUUGGGGGUUUUGCUGGCCUAUGGUCGGCUCCUCUAAAAUAAAUCAGCUUACCGGUGUUUGGUGGGUAUCAUGGGUGUGAUAACUAUCUACGCUUGUGGUUUUUCCACCAGGUAACCUUCGACAGCGGAGGUUCACUGGAGCUCAUAGAUGUCUCUCCUCAGCGAGGACAGCCCUUUGAAUGUUUGAUCUCAAAUCAGGUAGGACUACCCGCUGAACUUAAGCAUAUCAAUAAGCGGAGGA